AAAAGACUUAGUCCUAACCUUACCAUUAAUUCUUGCCAAACAUAUACAUGCAAGUAUCCGCAUUCCAGUGCAAAUACCCUUAACGUCUUAAUAAGACAACAGGAGUAGGUAUCAGGCACACACUACCCAGUAGCCCAAGACACCUUGCCCCCGCCACACCCCCACGGGUACUCAGCAGUAAUUGACAUUAAGCAAUAAGUGAAAACUUGACUUAGUUAUGGCAACCCUCAGGGUUGGUAAAUCUUGUGCCAGCCACCGCGGUCACACAAGAAACCCAAAUUAAUCCUACACGGCGUAAAGAGUGGAACCAUAAUAUCCAACAAACUAGGACUGAACUGCAACUAAGCUGUUAUAAGCAUAAGAUGCAUCUAACAUCCACCACUAAGACGACCCUAGAACCCUACGACCCACAGAACUCCACGAAAGCCAGGACCCAAACUGGGAUUAGAUACCCCACUAUGCCUGGCUGUAAAUCCAGAUGACUACCUACCCAACCAUCCGCCCGAGGACUACGAGCACAAACGCUUAAAACUCUAAGGACUUGGCGGUGCCCCAAACCCACCUAGAGGAGCCUGUUCUAUAAUCGAUAACCCACGAUACACCCAACCAUCCUUCGUCAAACACAGCCUAUAUACCGCCGUCGUCAGUUCACCCCACAUUGAGGGUCCGACAGUGAACACAAUAGCCUCCCCCACUAAUAAGACAGGUCGAGGUAUAGCCUAUAGGAUGGCAGAAAUGGGCUACAUUUUCUACCCUAGAAAAACACGGCACAGAGAUAUGAAACCAUCUCUAGAAGGCGGAUUUAGCAGUAAAGAGAGACAAUCCAAGCCCUCUUUAAACCGGCCCUGGAGCACGUACAUACCGCCCGUCACCCUCCUCCCAAGCUAACCAACCAACCCCUAACUAACCCACAACCAAGCUAAAGACGAGGUAAGUCGUAACAAGGUAAGUGUACCGGAAGGUGCACUUAGUCUAUC
rnacentral:ncRNA from 1 species